rnacentral:misc_RNA from 1 species
GUGAAUCAUCAAAUUUUUGAACGCAAAUUGCGCCUUUUUCGGAAGGCAUGUCUGUUUGAGGGCACCAUUUAACAAAUAAUGUGCAGCGUUUUUUGUUGGACACGUUUAUUAGCGUUCCAAGAAGUUUAAAUUUUUGGUGGCGCAUAAUGAACAGCGUGAAAUUUUUCUUCAGUUCAAGUGUAGUAAAAUCUUUUCUUUGGUUGUGAAAGAACAUAAUCGUGCAAUG